AUAAUAAUUGUCAACACAACACAACUAGUAAUCAUUAUAUUAGGUCAAAAUUAGAUUUAACAAAAAUUUUGAAAAUAAGUAUAUCAUAUGUUCAUGGAGAAUAUAGUAACUAGAACAGAAAUUGUGUGUUUUUCAUCAAUUUAGUAGUUCAGUAAAUUUCUUACAAAACAUUUUGGAAAUAAUUUUUUUUGGUUGUUGAAUAUUAAUUAUAAAUUUUACUACUUAGUGACUUUGGCGUCGAUUUAACCAUUUUUAACGAAAUUCGAAAAGACCUUUAAAAAUUGCAUUGGAAAAAUGGAUUUAAUUGCGGUUGUGGGCUUGACUGGCAUGUUUAAUAUUUUGCAACCAGUAUUCGCAAGUUUAAACAUAGAGUCACCGUCUACCCUGGUAAUUAUAGGGGUCCCACUAAAAGGCAUUAUCCUUACAAUGGCCAUUCUGGAUUUGGUCUUCAACAACUAUGAAGACACGGUGCCUGAUAUUUCCAACUUGUACGGAUAAAAACGGUUCAUAAAAAAUUUUGAAAAUGCCGGUAAACUACCAGGUUAUUUAAAAUUACUCUGUAAUUUGGUAAAAUUAAAAAUAAUGUGCAAAAACUAA